rnacentral:lncRNA from 1 species
CAGUCCUUGGAGAGAUAAUAUUUAAUCCUAUCUGUCAUGCUUGUUGGGAUAUCAGCAUUUAUCAGUGAAGCCUGAUGAAUCAGGUUGCGAGUCACGCGGAACAUGCCGAAUCAAGCCCACUCCAAGGCAGCAAUCAACUGGACACCCCCCCACACCCCUGCUCCUCUGGCCUCUUCUCUGUACAGCCAUCUGGUUCCACACUACAAAGACACAAAGGACACCGGACCACCAGACCACUGUACUGGCUUGUGCUACCAUUGGGUGAUAUGACUCUGGGAUGUUUCCUGUCUACUUCCAAAAACAAAGAAAAGCAAAACUGUGAGUGCUGAUGGAUGUUUGUGUCUUUCACCAUCCAGGAAGUGAAGCAAGGCUCCUGGUAAGGAAGUCAGCUUUGGAGUAGAGGAUGAGGAAGUCGUCACUACCCAGCCCUGCACAUUUGAACCCCCACUCACCACCAGCCCACUCUCAGGUGCUUCUGACACAAGACAGGCACCAACCUGACCUCCAAGCUUCUUUGGAAAGAAAUAUAGGCAAGUCUUCUUCUAUCGUUGAGAUUUAUUUUUAAGAAUCGGGGAAAUACAUAAAAAAGAAGCUUGAGGCAUGCAGAAGAGAGAAGCAUUUGGAUAUGUCACUUAAUCCGUCUGCUUCUCAGCUUGCUCAUCUGGGAAAGGGGCACAUGGAGCUAAGUGCCUCAUCAGCUCAGAAGUUCUCUUUGGUGGGGAAAGGGCUGUGAAAAGUGGGUCACAGGCCGGGAGCAAUCACCCCACCCCAUCUAAGCUGACUGGAGAUUCUCACUGGCCCAGAGUAAGACUGCCCUUACUGGGAUGGCCUAACAGAGGGUGUCAGCAUUUGUCUCUGGCUUCAGUCCUCAACCCACACACACACACACACACACACACACACACACACACACACACACACACACUCUCACACACUUUCUUCUCCCAGGCCUCUUCCAAGGGAUGGUUUGCAAAUGUGAACAAGGGGAUACACACAGUUUUGAGGAACUAUCUAGAAAAGUCAACACGCGAUUAGGCAGAAGUCUGUGAUAAGGCUCCUCCACGGCUUAAGGGAACACUAGGGAGGGACCAGAGCUCCCGCCUGCUUGCCAGCGGUUCCGGUGUUUACUGUGUCCGGGGCUGCGGCGGGACAACACGCGAUCAGCCCGCAGCUUGGCUCCAUCCCUUGGCUGUCUUGUGCCGCUCCCUACGGCUUUCUCUCCUUCCGUCUGUGUUACUGGCUCUCUCUCCUUUCCUUUCCGGGCACCGCUGUCCCUCUCCACCAUGCCCCUGUCUCC